rnacentral:tRNA from 1 species
GGCUCGGUGGUCUAGUGGUAACGGCAUAGGGCUAUCAAACCUGGUAACUGGUCCGUCGUCAGUUCGAAUCUCAUUCGGACCA